GCUGUCAGAGCUAAAACCCUGGAGGCACCAGAUCCCAUCUGAAUUUGGAUGCUGAGAGGGGACAGGCAUUGCUAAUAUUUGGAUGGGAGACCAGCAAAGAAUACCAGGUGCUGUAGGCU
rnacentral:rRNA from 1 species